GGUUGUGGCUCGGUGGCAGAGCGCUUGCCUAGCACAUGUGAGGCCCUGGGUUCUAUCCUCAGCACCA
rnacentral:tRNA from 1 species